UGCUGUCCGGUCGGUCGACCCAAUUAUGCAUGCGAUACAAGCAAGCCCUAGCGGCCCCCAUCUUGACAUCGCGAUGGCCGUCUUCGUUCUUCGCCGCCCUAGCUAACUCAACGAUCGCAAUGGAGACCGUCGGCGAACGGGCGGGACGAAGGACCGCGUGGCACCUAUCGGCGGUGUGGUGAAUAGGUUCGUUCUGGUUCUAAGAGUCAUUUGCUUCUGAAGUGCACCUCUACAGAGCUGAUCCUAUCCCAUUAGAAAUGGAAGACCCACCAAUCAUUUCAUCAGAAAUCACUAAUGCCAAGUCACGAAAGAAGAAACCAUUGAAGCAAAUGUCUAGUGCAGUUCAGAUCAAGAGAGAGCAUGGAGGGGAAAAUGAGGGGACCCAUCUAUUUAAAAAGCCACAAAAGGUAUCCAAGAAAGGCCAUAAAGAUGGGGUUCCCUCAUCUUUCCAACAGAUAGACAGGGCGGCUCUUGAUUCAUUGGCUGAUCCUUCAGGAUCUGGUGAUGAGUACAGGGCAUUAAGACACAAGUAUCUGUUGCUGGAGGAAGAAAGCUUCUCACUGGACAGCCAACUCAGUGAGGCUGACGCAGAAGUGAAAACUCUGGAAAAUGAGAAGCUGGCUUUGUUGGAUCAGCUUGUUGUCUUGGAAGGUCUUUUAGAUCCUUCAGAAAUAAAGCAUGAAGGGCGGCUGUGAAAAGAACCAAACAGGAGAUGCUUGGUAGGACUUUGGAAUCUCAUAAAAGCUGACAUUUUAGCAUCGGUACCUUGAUAAAGAUUGUUCAGCAAUAUCUCGCAGAUUUGUAUUUCGAAUAUCUCAGCCACUUGGAUGGCCAAAUAACUUUUUAAGAUCUGCUGUGUCUAACAGGUGGUUGGUUAUUAAAUGGAACUGGCGAUCUCUAACAGCUAAGAAUUAUGGUGAACUGCCACCUGGGAUGCAUACCCACUUUGUUUGCUGAAGCUAAAUAGUGAGGUUCUAAGCAGUUUGUGUAGUUCUGAAGUGAAACUCAUCACGGAGGUGAUAUUAAGUUACACCAGUUGUGUACAUAUGAUUUGAUUUGAACUGUGACAAUAUCAUUGAAUGUUUAAUCUGCUUUAUAUA